CCAUUUAGAUUUCAUUGUGAUUGUGAAAAAAAUGUAAUACAAUGUAAGACUAAAUGGACUGUAGUUACGAGUACAUAUACAAUUACACUAUGCUUUAUUUUGAUAAGUUUAUUUUACCUUAUUUUACCUUUAUUUUACCAAGGGGACUUAAUUAUAAUAGAAACUCAAAAGGAAAAUGUAACAAGGACAAUGAUGGGUCAAAACAAAGGCAGGCAGGUGAAACAAGAGCUAACAAGAGCCAAACUAAACGCAAAGAAAGACUGUGGAAACAAAGCCAAGAAAUGCAAGUCGAAAAAGGCAUCCCCUUGGAUUUUGCAUUUUUGCAGCUCCCAUCAUCAAGUGCCUUUGGGACUUUGUAUUUGAGAGAGUGUUAAGUUACCUGUGCAAGUUUCAGCUGCAUAGCUGCAGUACAGCCAGUUUUAACAGGGGGAUGCCUUUUCCGGCAGGUGCUUGCCGAAAAAGGCAUCCCCUUGGAUUUUGGAUUUCUGCAGCUCCCAUCAUCAAGUGCCUUUAGGACUUUGUAUUUGAGAGAGUGUUAAGUUACCUGUGCAAGUUUCAGCUGCAUAGCUGCAGUACAGCCAGUUUUAACAGGGGGAUGCCUUUUCCGGCAGGUGCUUGCCGAAAAAGGCAUCCCCUUGGAUUUUGGAUUUCUGCAGCUCCCAUCAUCAAGUGCCUUUAGGACUUUGUAUUUGAGAGAGUGUUAAGUUACCUGUGCAAGUUUCAGCUGCAUAGCUGCAGUACAGCCAGUUUUAACAGGGGGAUG